rnacentral:rRNA from 1 species
ACUCCUACGGGAGGCAGCAGUGAGGAAUAUUGGUCAAUGGGCGAGAGCCUGAACCAGCCAUGUCGCGUGCAGGAAGACUGCCCUAUGGGUUGUAAACUGCUUUUGUACGGGAAGAAACGCAGCUACGUGUAGCUGUUUGCCGGUACCGUACGAAUAAGCAUCGGCUAACUCCGUGCCAGCAGCCGCGGUAAUACGGAGGAUGCAAGCGUUAUCCGGAUUCAUUGGGUUUAAAGGGUGCGUAGGCGGAAGUAUAAGUCAGGGGUGAAAGUUUGUGGCUCAACCAUAAAAUUGCCUUUGAUACUGUAUUUCUUGAGUACAUUUGAGGUAGGCGGAAUGUGUUGUGUAGCGGUGAAAUGCUUAGAUAUAACACAGAACACCGAUUGCGAAGGCAGCUUACUAAACUGUAACUGACGCUGAUGCACGAAAGCGUGGGGAUCGAACAGGAUUAGAUACCCUGGUAGGCUCUG